AUCUUGAAUCAUUUCAGUGCAUUGGAAAUUUACUAGCAUUCGAAUUCGGAUGGGCUUUGUAAGACUUUGAAUCGUUUGUGAGGGACUAUUUCUUUGUGGCUAUCGGUGUAUGUUAUGCUGCGUUGUGUGGUUUGUUUAUGUAAUUUUUUUUCCCGCGCUGCUACUUCAAUUUCAAGUCUGCCUUUGGUGUUUCUGUUUAGCCGUUUUGUGCGAUAGACUUUGUUCGUUCAAUUUUGCCUAUUCAUUGUUGCAUGCUUGAAUCCAUGACCCUCUUCUUUAGGACUUCUCAUGUAUAAAUAGGGACCAUUUGUUUUAUUUUGAUUCACAUCAUCUUAAAAUUACUUAUAUCUUUUCUUUUUAUCACUCUUUCUAAAACUUCUUUGUUUGAUCUUUUUAUGGAUUUGCAUUUGCGAGAAUUUAAGCCCCUGGUUUGGGUUUUUUUUUGCUGACUAUUUUUCAUGGAUUAUGUGAUUAACGGAGGUUAAACCUGAAAGGAGAAUGACAAGUCCUGAUACAUUACUUUCCUUCUCUUCCUUGACUUUAGAUGUUCGUGAAUGUGAUUGUUACUUGAUUAUAUUGUUAUAAAUCUUAGGCAUUUAAAAUUGAAAUUAUGUAGGUCAGUAUAGAAUCAUCCCAAAGUUAGUCUAACACAAGUGUUGUUGUCUUUUUAUAUUUUCUGCAUAGUUAGUUAUAUUGGUUUUGGACAGUUUAGGUUCUUUGCAUACAAGUUUUUGGUAUUUUAAACUCCCAUGUAUCUUUAAAAACUUGAAUCCUUAACAAAUAAUAUAUCUUUAGACAUUUAUAAUUAGUUACCCUUUCUUUUGUGCAUCGUUAAAAUGUUCCAAGGACUCAUACCAUAUAUUGUUGUGAGUUUGCUUCUCUUAUUUGAAUAUGCCAAAAAUUGUACCAUGAAAAGUUACUAAUUUCUUUUUAAUACUGCUCCUAGAUCAUGCACUUUAAGAUUUAAAAGUUCAAAAUGUAUUCUUUUCAAAUUGUUGAAGAUGAUGAUUCUUGCAAUAACAAUGUUUCGCUAACACAAAUUGGUGAAACGCAAUUGGAGAGCCGCCUUAUUGAGUUUGGUGUUCAACCAAAACUGGGAAUGAUCUGGUUGAUAACGAGCAAACACCUGGUAGCAAAUAUGGAGGGAAAAGGUCCGCUGAUGUAGAGGAUUAUGCUAUACUUGGCACCGAAGAGAUUGGAGAAAGAUCAAUUAACAAGCCGCAGAAGAUGAAAUGAGUCAAGGUUGAGAAACUGAACUAAUGGGGAGGAUGAAGUCCAUAAUUUUAAAAUUUUGUUUUGUCUGAUACCAGAUUAUGUGUUGCCUCUGGAUGAAUAUGUUACGUUUAUUUGCUUUAGACUAUUUCCCAUUUUGGUGUACUGUUUUUUGAACCUUAGGCCCCACAACCUUUUGUUUGUUGCCCGUUUAUCUUUCUGUCAACUGUUUUGUCUGAAUCAAUCUAAGUAUUUCCUCCUAUUGAUGUUUAACCUGUUUGAGGUUUUA